rnacentral:rRNA from 1 species
UACGAAGGGUGCGAGCGUUAAUCGGAAUUACUGGGCGUAAAGCGUGCGCAGGCGGUGAUGUAAGACAGAUGUGAAAUCCCCGGGCUCAACCUGGGAACUGCAUUUGUGACUGCAUCGCUGGAGUGCGGCAGAGGGGGAUGGAAUUCCGCGUGUAGCAGUGAAAUGCGUAGAUAUGCGGAGGAACACCGAUGGCGAAGGCAAUCCCCUGGGCCUGCACUGACGCUCAUGCACGAAAGCGUGGGGAGCAAACAGG